UGGGGAAUAUUGCACAAUGGGGGAAACCCUGAUGCAGCGACGCCGCGUGAGCGAAGAAGGUUUUCGAAUCGUAAAGCUCUGUCCUAUGGGAAGAUAAUGACGGUACCAUAGGAGGAAGCCCCGGCUAACUACGUGCCAGCAGCCGCGGUAAUACGUAGGGGGCAAGCGUUGUCCGGAAUCACUGGGCGUAAAGGGUUCGCAGGCGGAAAUGCAAGUCAGUUGUGAAAGGCAGAGGCUCAACCUCUGUAAGCAAUUGAAACUGUAUUUCUUGAGAGGUGGAGAGGCAAGUGGAAUUCCUAGUGUAGCGGUGAAAUGCGUAGAUAUUAGGAAGAAUACCGGUGGCGAAGGCGACUUGCUGGACACAAACUGACGCUGAGGAACGAAAGCGUGGGUAGCAAACAGG
rnacentral:rRNA from 1 species